GGAGUCCAUUGUGCUGUAACAGACCUGGUCUCAUUUAUAAACGUGGCGUACGCACAAAACGGGGCUGAAAAUGUGCGUACACCACUUCCCACGCAAAGGU